rnacentral:rRNA from 1 species
CCUACGGGAGGCAGCAGUGGGGGAUAUUGCACAAUGGGGGGAACCCUGAUGCAGCGACGCCGCGUGGGUGAAGGAGUGCUUCGGCAUGUAAAGCCCUAUCGGCAGGGAAGAAGCAAGACGGUACCUGACUAAGAAGCCCCGGCUAACUACGUGCCAGCAGCCGCGGUAAUACGUAGGGGGCGAGCGUUAUCCGGAUUCACUGGGUGUAAAGGGAGCGUAGACGGCGUGUCAAGUCAGCGGUAAAAUGUCGGGGCUCAACCCCGGCCGGCCGUUGAAACUGGCGUGCUCGAGUUGGAGAGAAGUAUGCGGAAUUCGUGGUGUAGCGGUGAAAUGCAUAGAUAUCACGAAGAACCCCGAUUGCGAAGGCAGCAUACCGGCUCCACACUGACGCUGAGGCACGAAAGCGUGGGUAUCGAACAGGAUUAGAUACCCCUGUAGUC